UUGUCACUAGAAUGUUUCAAGAAUGAAUAUUGGGAUACCGUCGCAUCCUGGUGCAGAAUCAAUAACAUAUGAUAAGACAUUCUUGAGCUCCAAUAACGAAAAUGGACUGUUAAAACGCUGCACGUUAUCAUUAUCAAUAUUGGACGGGGAAGCCAGUUCAGGACACACAGGGAAUGGGACAAAUGGAGGAGCUAAUUUAUCUAAAAAUUUCUCAGCUAUUGGAGGAUCAAGAUUGAUGGCGUUAUUUUCUACAAAAGCUCCUCUAAACAUUCUAACCUUCCUCCAAACUUCUGACGGCUUCUGAACAUUCAGGAUCCCACCAUGGAAAGCUGGGAAUAUUGAAUUUAGAGGACUUCUUACGUGGAAAAACUUCAUCAGCUAUAUUAAUUAUAAACUUAGCAAAAGCAUCAGAAGUUUUAAACAAAUUUUCACGAGAUACAUCGGAUAAUUCUCCCAACCUCUCAUCCAUAUGUUUGCGAAACUUAUCCCAAUCUGCAUUUUGAAGUUUAUAUGCUAACAGUCGAGAUCUUUUAUGUAAUGGUUUGUUUUUAAUAGGAAAAGAAAUGAGAAUUGGAAAAUGAUCACUGCCAUAGGAAAGUGGAAGUACCUCCCACAAUAAGGAGUGAGAUAUGGAAGAGCUACAAAUUGAUAAAUCUAAUGCACUAGGAUUCUCAUUGGGAGCAGACCGACGCGUAGGAACACCAGAAUUCAAUAUAUUUAAAUUAUAAUAAUCAA